rnacentral:rRNA from 1 species
AGUCAAGUAAUUAAGUGCAUGUGGUGGAUGCCUUGGCAGUCAGAGGCGAUGAAAGACGUGAUAGCCUGCGAAAAGCUCCGGGGAGGCGGCAAAUAUCCU